rnacentral:tRNA from 1 species
GCUCCGGUGGCGGAACAGGCAGACGCGCAGCACUCAAAAUGCUGUACCCACGGGUGUGAGGGUUCGAGUCCCUCCCGGAGCA